UUGGCGUGGACUGGGCGAGCCGGAGAACUAGAGGAGCCCCAAGCUGCAGCACCAAAGCCUCACCUCUCCGGCGGUGCCCCAAACCGCGAGGGGUGCUCCAACUGCCUCACCAAACCAAAAGGCAAGAACAGCUGACGGCCGCCCGCCUGGCCCGGGGCUCUCAUCAGAAACCACGCGACCUUCCACUGCUUACUGCUCAGCUCUGAGACGCAGACCCCCGGGGCCUUCGUCCCCAGCGGGAACCAGGCCCACACAGCCACAAGGCCCCGAGCUCACGGGGCCUGUGCCAGCGCCACACUCUCCGACUUCCCAACCUAGGAUGCGAGCUGCCAGCCACGGCCCUCAGCCACAGGCCGUUCAACCAAGCACCGCCGACUGACGGACACCCCCCUCACGCGGUGAGAGGAAGGACCCCCAGAUGCCACGGCUCCCAAAUGCGGACGCCCGGCGUGGUGCCCGUGCCCGUCCCAGUGCGCUCAAGGGGAAGCGGUCCCUCACUCCUGCCAUGCCUGGGGAAGACAACGUGCCGGACCUCAGUUUCGAUGAGAACGACGGUAGUGAGUUCUCACUCAUUUUGUUCAGAUUUUCCAAGGAAUGCAUAUGAGGGAGUCAUCAUCGAUCCGAGCACGUUCUGCCAACCUGGACAAACUAACCAGGCAGGCUGGGGGGCUCCGCAGCGGGCGAGCCGAUCGCCUCAUGGGCGCCAGCGGCCUGGAGAAUCCAGAGCCGAGCCCCGCCGGAGCAGGGGCAACAGUCAGUCCGCCCUCAGAGCACGACGCCGCGGGCCCCCGGGCACACGCGCCCAAGAAGCCUCUGAGGCAGGUCUAGCGAAGCCCUCAGGGCGAGAGGCCGAACUUGGGACAAAGCAAUGCUGACCGUCCUGGGCCGUCCGAGGGCGUGGUGCGCAUCCCGGGCCACACUUCCGCCGCGACUGCCUCGCACCUGCGCUCGUCACGGGACACGAAGGGUCUUCUUCUGUCGGUGGGCGGCAGCGAGCUUUGCACGGCUCUUCCACCUGAGGAGUGUAGAGAAAGCACACGCAUGCUUCAGAAACGUGCCCAGCUGGUCAGAAGACAGGAUCCGUGCCACAGUUCCCCCCGCGGCACCCUUGCAUCUGCUUGCCCUGUACCUCUAUCCCUUCGGGAUGACCGAAGGCGCGUGUGAUAUCCCGAGUGUAGGCAGAUGCGCAGGCCUGUGCACGUGUGCCUGUGCACGUGUGUGUGUGUGUGUGUGUGUGUUUGCGCGCGCGCGCGUGCGUGCCUGCGGGCUUCCGUGUGCGGUGGCCUCAGCACCCGGGAAAGCACGCCGUCCUCACAGAUGCCUGACCUCGUGCCCUGCCACCCCACGCGGAAGCCCGGUGACUUCCCAAGGAAGGACGCCAACUCGCACCGCUAGAGGCUGCUGCAAUCGGCCCCGGACUCCCUCUCUGAGCGCCACUCCUUCUGAGCAAAGGACACGGACCAUCCACCUACACCCUCACGCUGACCGUGGAUGUGAGGUCAACGUGGCCAGCGUGUCCCCGCGAGCUGGGCCGGGGGGAACGGCACUUGAUGGUAAUGCUACCUGGCUACCGCCAGGACAACAGGGCUG
ensembl:lncRNA